GACCCCGCUCUCACCCCCUUCGCAUCUGAUAAGAACCAACGGAAAAAAGAAAAUUUAUGAAAAGCGCAUGAAACAGUGGAUCAGAGACGGCAAGUAUGAAGUUGACAAUGGUUUAGUGACGAAGAUGGAGGAACAGCUGUCGUGAAGGCUGUUCUCGCGCCACACAGCCAUCCAUUUUGUGCACAUUCGUCUUCACCUCGCUUUUCACAAUAGUGCAACCCUCAGCGCCGUUUCUAGCUGUGCAUCGCGCGCCGUCAUCGCAUUGGGUGAUUCUUCCGCUGUGAAUGUCGUCGUCUUUUUCAAUCAGUUUUGGGUGAUUCAGUCAAGUGAGUUGGAUCCAAGAAUUAUGAUUCACUAUUGCAUUCCAUCAACGGCUUCAAUUCUUGCCUUUGAUUUCAUUCAGAGACUCUUGGCUAUUGGAACGCUAUUAGGUGCUUAUAUUGCUUACAUUAAUGGCAGGGGUGGAAGACUAAAGAUUUGAAGUCUUGAAAGCUGAAACCUUGUUUGUUCUUUAGAAUGGGAGUCUAACAUUAUUACUUUCUCUGUCAUUAGUGGCUCUCACUAAUUAAUGUGUUAUUAUUAUUAUUAUUAAGCCACUGUAAGAGAGAAGAUUUUAGAAAGUGGCUAUUUAGAGAGAAUGGUAAAUAAUGAAAAAAUAAUGAGGAGGUGAAUGACAGGGGUAUGUAAGUAAUUUCACAAUUUAUAAACGGUUUUUUGACAUUUAAUGUUAACAGGGACUAAAUUGAAAAAUAAUUUAAAG